CCUACGGGAGGCAGCAGUGGGGAAUAUUGGUCAAUGGGCGCAAGCCUGACCCAGCAAAGCCGCUUGCAUGACGCAGCCUUUCGGGUUGCACACUUCUUUUGUCAGGGAAGAGUAGAAGACGGUACCUGACGAAUAAGCCACGGCUAACUACGUGCCAGCAGCCGCGGUAAUACGUAGGUGGCAAGCGUUGUCCGGAUUUACUGGGUGUAAAGGGCGUGUAGCCGGGUUGACAAGUCAGAUUUGAAAUCCUGCGGCUUAACCGCAGAACUGCAUUUGAAACUGUGGAUCUUGAGUACUGGAGGGGCAGAUGGAAUUCCUAGUGUAGCGGUGAAAUGCGUAGAUAUUAGGAGGAACACCAGUGGCGAAGGCGGUCUGCUGGACAGCAACUGACGGUGAGGCGCGAAAGCGUGGGGAGCAAACAGGAUUAGAUACCCGAGUAGUC
rnacentral:rRNA from 1 species